CCUCAUAGUAACUCAUACAUAGAGCAUAUAGUGGGUAUAUAUACUGAGGCUGUGUCCUCAUAGUAACUCAUACAUAGAGCAUAUAGUGGGUACAUAUACUGAGGCGAUGUCCUCACAGUAACUCUUACACAGAGCAUAUAGUGGGUACAUAUACUGAGGCCGUGUCCUCAUAGUAACUCAUACAUACAGCAUAUAGUGGGUACAUAUACUGAGGCCGUGUCCUCAUAGUAACUCAUACAUAGAGCCUAUAGUGGAUACAUAUACUGAGGCCGUGUCCUCAUAGUAACUCAUACAUAGAGCAUAUACUGGACACACACUGAGAAUGAGUCUUCAUACAUUAGAGCAUAAAGUGGAAACAUACAGAUGCUGUACCACCA